rnacentral:rRNA from 1 species
UACGGGGGGGGCAAGCGUUGUUCGGAAUUACUGGGCGUAAAGGGCUCGUAGGCGGCCAACUAAGUCAUACGUGAAAUCCCUCGGCUUAACCGGGGAACUGCGUCUGAUACUGGAUGGCUUGAGUUCGGGAGAGGGAUGCGGAAUUCCAGGUGUAGCGGUGAAAUGCGUAGAUAUCUGGAGGAACACCGGUGGCGAAGGCGGUUCUCUGGGACGGUACUGACGCUGAGACGCGAAAGCGUGGGGAGCGAACAGG